GGAACGGAAAAAAAUAAAUAUGACUCAAAUAAAACAGAUAAUUUGUCUAUGCACCAGAAAUUUGAUCAAUUAAUUGAUGAUUAUUUUCCCGAUUUAAAAGACGAAAAAGAAGAGAAAAUAGAAAGAUGUCCAAAAACGGGUGAUUAUGUAUUUAAGAAAAUAAAUAGGGACAAAGAAGAUUAUGUGGUAAACAAAGAAUAUAUGAAAGUGACGGUCCUCCUAUAUUUACCGAUUUGGUGGAAAAUGAAUCUAAAAUUGGAACAGUACAUAUUACAAAUCCUUUGCCUAAAAUUGAAAGAAAAAAUGAGUUAAAGAAAGAUUACUUAGAGUGGCUAAAAAUGGAGAGAUUGAUGAAACCCAAUGAAAGAAGAGAAGAAUAUGAACUAAUGCAAAAUAAAUAUUUAGAAACUAUAAAAUUAUCAAACGAAAUAAAACAAGAUAUUAAACUGGCCAGAGUAAUUAAAUCACAUUAUCCUAGAGGAAUAGUUGGUGUUGAUUCUGUAUAUAAUGAAAACACUGUGUUAUAUAAAGAUAAGUAUGAAGAAAUUAAAAAUAAAGAAAAAUAUAAAAAUAAAAUAUCUCAAGAACGAAGGGAAGCGCUUCAAAAACAAAAUAACAGAAAUGGUGAUAUACUAGCUUUUGAUCCUACUAGUAAAACGUAAAUCCCCAACUAAACCGUUACUGAUGAAUGUUUUUUUUUUUCUUUUUUUUUUUUUUAAUAUUAACAAAAGAUAUGGAAAUAUAUUGUGCAUACAUCUAUGUGUAAUUUACGUAUUUUACUACAUCCAUCAAUAUGAUUUUAUAAAAAAGAGUGUACAUUUAUAAAUUUUUUAUUAUUUGUUUAACAAUAAUUGGACAAACUAUAUAUUGUGAAUUUUUUUAAAUUAUUUGAUUUUAUUUUUAAUACUGCGUUUGUUUAUAUAUUUUUAUAUUAUUUCGUUUAUCAAAUUAAACAUUACAAGUAAGCAAUUAUGGAAAAUAUAUAUAUAUAUAUGAA